GAUGAACGCUGACAGAAUGCUUAACACAUGCAAGUCUACUUGAAUUUGGGUUUUUUAACUUAGAUUUGGGUGGCGGACGGGUGAGUAACGCGUAAAGAACUUGCCUCACAGCUAGGGACAACAUUUGGAAACGAAUGCUAAUACCUGAUAUUAUGAUUUUAAGGCAUCUUAGAAUUAUGAAAGCUAUACGCGCUGUGAGAGAGCUUUGCGUCCCAUUAGCUAGUUGGAGAGGUAACGGCUCACCAAGGCGAUGAUGGGUAGCCGGCCUGAGAGGGUGAACGGCCACAAGGGGACUGAGACACGGCCCUUACUCCUACGGGAGGCAGCAGUGGGGAAUAUUGGACAAUGGACCGAGAGUCUGAUCCAGCAAUUCUGUGUGCACGAUGACGUUUUUCGGAAUGUAAAGUGCUUUCAGUUGGGAAGAAAAAAAUGACGGUACCAACAGAAGAAGUGACGGC
rnacentral:rRNA from 1 species